UACGGAGGGGGCUAGCGUUGUUCGGAAUUACUGGGCGUAAAGCGCACGUAGGCGGUUUUUAAGUCAGAGGUGAAAGCCCGGAGCUCAACUCGGAAUUGCCUUUGAGACUGGAAGACUUGAACGUCGGAGAGGUGAGUGGGAAUUCCGAGUGUAGAGGUGAAAUUCGUAGAUAUUCGGAAGAACACCAGUGGCGAAGGCGGCUCACUGGACGACCUGGUUGACGCUGAGGUGCGAAAGCGUGGGGAGCAAACAGGGAUUAAGAAACCC
rnacentral:rRNA from 1 species